CUAGAGAAAACACCACUAAUGAUCCAUGGUGAACAACUUAUUUUCCUUCUAUGGCAAAAAAAUUUAGAUGUAUUGAGUGUGAAAGACUGGUUCAACAUUUGAAAAUCAAUCAGUUUAAUUCACCAUAUCAACAGGCUGAACAAGAAAAGUCAUGUGAUUGUAUCAGUUGACACAGAAAAGCAUUUAACAAAAAUCCAGCACUGAUUUAUGAUUAAAACAAAGAAACAAACUCUCAGCACAUUAGAAAUAGAGUGGAGUUAAGAGCAUCUACCGAAACUUUCAGCUAACAUCACACCUAAGGCUAAAAGACGGACUAUUUUCCUUCCAAGAUUGAAACAAGAUGGCAAAACAAUUUAAGUAUCUGGAAUCACAUAUUCCUUAUCUGAUCUUGAAAACUUACAAUGAUUAAAGAAUCUCGAUCUUUGAAGAAAUUCCGAUUUCCUGUGUGCUGGCUUUAUCAACAAAGAGGUUCUCACCAGACAGCAGUCCCUGACAUUCUACAUCUCUACAAGCUUAAUGGAAAGAAUGCGCCAUCUUGUAAAUAAAUCCGGUAAAAU